CUCUAACAGCAGAUAGAUAGAGAGGUUAAAGGGGUUCUAACAGCAGAUAGAUAGAGAGGUUAAAGGGGUUCUAACAGCAGAUAGAGAGAGAGGUUAAAGGGGUUCUAACAGCAGAUAGAGAGAGAGAGGUUAAAGGGGUUCUAACAGCAGAUAGAGAGAUAGAGGUUAAAGGGGUUCUAACAGCAGAUAGAGAGAGAGAGGUUAAAGGGGUUCUAACAGCAGAUAGAGAGAUAGAGGUUAAAGGGGUUCUAACAGCAGAUAGAGAGAGAGGUUAAAGGGGUUCUAACAGCAGAUGGUUUAGGUUAAAGGGGUUCUAACAGCAGAUUGUUUAGGUUAAAUGGGUUCUAACAGCAGAUAGAGAGAGAGAGGUUAAAGGGGUUCUAACAGCAGAUAGAGAGAUAGAGGUUAAAGGGGUUCUAACAGCAGAUAGAGAGAGAGAGGUUAAAGGGGUUCUAACAGCAGAUAGAUAGAGAGAGGUUAAAGGGGUUCUAACAGCAGAUAGAUAGAGAGGUUAAAUGGGUUCUAACAGCAGAUAGAUAGAGAGAGGUUAAAGGGGUUCUAACAGCAGAUUGUCGGGUGGUAGAAACCCCCCUCAGCCUGACCAUGGGACCG
rnacentral:lncRNA from 1 species